GAUGAACGCUAGCUACAGGCUUAACACAUGCAAGUCGAGGGGUAACGAGAGGAAAGCUUGCUUUCCUUGUCGACGACCGGCGCACGGGUGAGUAACGCGUAUCCAACCUGCCCCCAACUAAGGAAUAACCUUGCGAAAGUAAGACUAAUACCUUAUAAUUUCCUCAGAUGACAUCUGACGAGGAAUAAAGAUUUAUCGGUUGUGGAUGGGGAUGCGUCUGAUUAGCUUGUUGGCGGGGUAACGGCCCACCAAGGCAACGAUCAGUAGGGGUUCUGAGAGGAAGGUCCCCCACAUUGGAACUGAGACACGGUCCAAACUCCUACGGGAGGCAGCAGUGAGGAAUAUUGGUCAAUGGGCGGAAGCCUGAACCAGCCAAGUAGCGUGCAGGAUGACGGCCCUAUGGGUUGUAAACUGCUUUUAUACAGGAAUAAAGUUAGCCACGUGUGGUUAUUUGUAGGUACUGUAUGAAUAAGGACCGGCUAACUCCGUGCCAGCAGCCGCCGUAAAAC
rnacentral:rRNA from 1 species